GUUGGAGAACAUAAAUUCUGGUCUGGAAUAAUUAUCUACCAAAUUGCUUAUUAUAUGUGGGUGUUCCUUUCAGAAAAGAUCUCAACAGUACAGUAAAAUAGCUUUCUGAGCUUGAGGUCCCAACCAGGCAUUUAGAUCAAAAUCUUAAGUUUUUUCAACUUCUUAGGGAAAAAGGCAAGAUGCCCCAUUUUCAAUGCUGGGCCUUAAGACUGUACUCCCAUCUCUAGUGUGAGAUGAAGCGGCUCACCUUUAGGAAAUCAUUUUACCAGUGAGAUUGUCUGUAAAUCCCUCUAGAAAGUCAUCCUGAUUUGAGCCUGUUUUCCUGAGCACUUUUGUGCUGAACUGAAAAUGUUAAGCUAAAGCAGCCACAGAUCCAUGUAGCCUCUUUCAUCUCUUUAUUGUCCCACUGAAAAAAAAAAUUUUUUUUUCAGGGUUCAACCUUGUUUUUUAACCUCCCCACGUUGUGUAGAAAAUGUGCCACUAGUAAAUGAUCCCAAAGGACGUCUAGUUUUAGUUACUCAAUUCCAGCAGCGUAACAGAUAUGACUCAUGCCUGGGAAGGUAGAGGCUGAUUAUUGAGACACCCAGGAACAGGAACAGAAAUGGAUUGGUCUGUUCCACACAGAGCCUCUCCAGGGAGCAGAUCUGAAGUUAGGUCUUGGAGAGCUUCCAAAGCCGUAAAGUGAAGUGAGGACUUAGAGACUUUGCUCAGUGAGCAAAAGGCUUGUGUCCUCCCAAUAACAUGAAAGAGUUCAGAAAGGAAUGACAGGCAUCUAAGCUGCAGCUCACAGACAGAAACCUGCCCUUUCACCUCUUCCCUUGUGGGUGUGAGCAUUUUUGCUCAGAAUUUUCCAAAGGGACUCUCUCUUCAAAAAUCUAAUUUGCUACUAGAGUUUUGUUUAGCUUCUGAGAACCUCACCCUUUCACUCUGUGAACAGACAUAGAUGUGUUGCUCAGGGUACGUGGGGGAGUCCAUGUACCAUGUACAUGCUCAGAUACAUGAGGGAGUCCAGGGCCCAGUGGCAUAGUGUUGCAUUAGUAGUUAGAAAAGCAAUUGGUGCACUCUAGCAUAAAAGUAAUAAGUAUGUGCUACAGUUUUGUAAAUGUCAGUUUUGUUGUAUUGUUUCAUGGUCUGAAAACUUUCAAACUGGUUUAUAAUCAAAGAAAGGGUUGGUGGUUAGAAUAGGUAAAGUUCCAGUUAGUGCAUCUGUUUUAAGAAUGAUAGCCGCCAGUUUGCCAUGUGCUUAAUUAAGGAAGUCAGGAGCACUGGAGGAUGUUGGGGACUGUUGGAAAUGAAAGUGAAACAGGUGUCUCUCAUCUACUGUAGUGUAUCAGAAAGAGGAAGUGGACGCCUAAUAGUAGUAUCUUCACACUUGCUUUUGCCAGCCCAGCCUUUAUUUCAGGGACCUUAUUUUCCAUUCUAUCCGAUGACCUUAGUAGGGGAUGGGCUCUGAAGAGGCAGCAAGGUCCCAGCUCUGUUUGCUGAGCUGUAGUGUAUGGUCUCCAAACAGCCUAAAAAUUUUCAAAGGGGGUUUCCUUACUAUGAUCAUCUCCACUCCAUCUGCCAUCUACCAUCAGCAUCAGAAAGGGUAACAUCCCUAGGACCAUUCCAUUUUAAUAGAGAUGACCUAGGGCUGGCAGGUUAGCUCAGUUGGUUAGAGCAUGGUGCUGACAGCACCAAAGUCCAGGGUUUAAUCCCUGUACCAGCAGCUGCCAGAGAGAGAAAGAGUGAGAGAGGAACUAGAUGUGCUUUCUUCCCUACCACAGGUGUCCUGUCCAGAUGCAGUCUCCUCUUGGCUAAGUUCAACACGUGUUUCCAGGGAAUCCCUUGGAUUAAAGCAAAGUGGCCGAGAUAUAUUGAGUUUAACUUUUCCCAAAGAACAGAAGUCUUUCUGUCCCUUCCCUCUAGUGCCCAUACAUUAGCUGAGGCUUAAAUGGUCAAGUCCAGUGAAUAUCUCUAAAAUUGAGAUAGAGAGCCAGGGAUCCAGGGACCCAGUCCCCUGGGGAUUCACAGAGUGGCCCAAACUAGACUGCUCUAAUCCCACCAGAACCUUGCUGCAGUCCAUUUCCAUCAGGACUGCCCAGGAAAGCAAACAAUUUAGCCUUCCCAUCAUUAGGUCACUUAGUCCCUUGGGCUUCUGAGUGAGAGCAUAUCUAGCACCUGUUUAAGUAGUGUGUUUCAUAACUGUAGAAAGGGUAGAAAAUGGAACAGCCAGCAGACUGAGUCAUCUUUGUAGAGGGUGGCAGGAAUAACCCCAUAUGAGCUUAACAAAACUGGGGAAUCCAAGGAAUGGUGCUUGUAGGGAAGGAGGGGUUGGUUGUGGUCCAUAAACCUCUUGCACCUGGUGCAGGGUUAAGGACAUAGGGGAGUAACAUUGCCCUUACCCCCAGUGCAGAUGCCCUCCAGGAUUUAGACCAUUGAGUGCAUGGUCUUGUUUUCCCAUUUUUUUUUUUUUUUUGUUUCCAAAACAGAAAAAUGUACUUGCUUAGUACUGCGUGGAAAGUCAAGCUUUUCUUCUUGCCCACACAGGGCUGCUAAGGAAGACUUUUACCGUGCUCUCAGCAGCUGAGGGGAGUGGAAUUUGGUUCAGAGAAGGCAAAAGGACACUGAGUUUUCCAGUUUCCUUUUUUCAAGGUGGGAGUUUGGGCUUCCUUCACACCUCCUUUCCAUGGUUGCAGCCAGAAGUACAGUUGGGUUGUGGAGGAGGGCUCAGAAGAAAGGGACACUGGUCCAGCCCCAGGUUUGACCCCAGAUAGGCGUACAGCAGAUACCAUCCCCCCUACCUCCUUUAAUAGCAGGCCAGCCACAUGCACCCUUCCCCUUCUUUACUGACGUGUCCCCUUAUGUGAAGCCAGCAGCAGGAGACAGGCAGACCCCUCCCCUGUAGUAUAGAGAGAGCUUUGGUACUACCCCUAAAAUUCCACCACCCCAUCCCAUUCCUUUUUGUAAAAACAUGCUUAAACCUGUGAGCCUGUCGUUCCUUUCUAUAUGUUAAUCAGUUUCUUUCCAUUUGAGCUGUGUGGGAGGGAAGGGCAUUGGAAUUGUAGGUUGUAAUCUUGUGCCAACCAAUAAAAACCAGUAUUUCACACACA